UACGUAGGGGGCUAGCGUUGUCCGGAUUUAUUGGGCGUAAAGAGCGUGUAGGCGGCCAAGUAGGUCCGGUGUGAAAACUCGAGGCUUAACCUCGAGAUGUCAUCGGAAACCAUUUGGCUAGAGUCCGGAAGAGGAAAGUGGAAUUCCUGGUGUAGCGGUGAAAUGCGUAGAGAUUAGGAAGAAUACCAGUGGCGAAGGGCGACUUUCUGGACUGUAACUGACACUGAGGCUCGAAAGCGUGGGGAGCAAACAGGG
rnacentral:rRNA from 1 species